rnacentral:lncRNA from 1 species
AGAAUGUCUACUUUGACUCUGGUCUGUGGGAUUUUUCGAUGUAGCACCCAUUUGUAGCCAUUUUAGCCAUUUUUUUUCAUUAUCUGUUAAGAGACAAAAUUUCAUGAAAUACUGCUUGCCUUUAUAUGUAGCAAAUUCUGACAUUUAACCAUAUAGUCCCUUAUAUUUUAAUACAACUGAUUACUAUACUCUUGCUUUGAUUUUGAGACUGGAUAUUAUCAAGGUAGUGUGGUCGUGGACUCCAGCUUGACUUUGAGAUCAGUAAAACAGAGACAAAAACACGUGGGCUAGGCAUUGGCCACCCAAUGUCAAUCGAUCCUGGCUUGUGUUCAUAGGGCUCUGGCCAAUUAGGACAGGACAGAACUACCCACUGAAAAGCAAUCCUGACUUGUGUACAGAGGGCAGUGGACAGAUCAGGGCAGGAAGGUCACUUUCUCUGGGAAAGUCUGAGAAGCAUUCUGCCUGGAAGGGAGACAUGUGGAAGCAUGGUGAGAAGAUAAACAUUUGAGGUCAAUGAUGAGGGGAUGGGAGGGCUGACCUCUGCUCAGGAUGGCUGGAAAGUGAGGGCCUUCAGCCAGUAGCUUCUGGAGGCCACAACUAAAAGUCAUGCAAGGCCCUACGAGACAGCACAAAGACUUAGACUUAAAGACUUUGUUUCUGUUUAGGGUUGUAAGGUAACUAGAGAAAUGACCCCAUUCCGCUGGACUUUCAUCAAGGCCAUUGCCAGCUAUGUCUAUGUAAAGUAUGUUAUCUGUGUGUCAUGAUUUAGAAUAAAGGACUCCUACCCAAAACAGGGCCGUUCCAGAGCACAGAUGUCUUGAGCCACCUCAUAGAAUCACCUCCCUCCCCUCUGCCAUGGGGUUUUCCAGAAGAUCCACAGACAAUUCAAUUUGAGAUUUUUUUUCAUAACAAAAGUGGCUUUCGCUUUCAGUGAAUUAGAGGAGGUGAACCUGGACUCCUUGCAAGCUCUUGUCCCCUUUCCUGCACAGGGGCUGCUUUGGGGCAUGAACUGUGGCAGCCCGUAAGACUCCGAGGAUACUUACAUUUUCUAGGUCUUUUAUGACUGUCAGGUCGCAACUCUUUUAAUC